GUGGGGAAUCUUCCGCAAUGGGCGAAAGCCUGACGGAGCAAUGCCGCGUGAGUGAUGAAGGGAUUCGUCCCGUAAAGCUCUGUUGUCUAUGACGAAUGUGCAUGUUGUGAACAAUGACGUGUAAUGACGGUAGUAGACGAGGAAGCCACGGCUAACUACGUGCCAGCAGCCGCGGUAAUACGUAGGUGGCGAGCGUUGUCCGGAAUUAUUGGGCGUAAAGAGCAUGUAGGCGGUUUUUUAAGUCUGGAGUGAAAAUGCGGGGCUCAACCCCGUAUGGCUCUGGAUACUGGAAGACUUGAGUGCAGGAGAGGAAAGGGGAAUUCCCAGUGUAGCGGUGAAAUGCGUAGAUAUUGGGAGGAACACCAGUGGCGAAGGCGCCUUUCUGGACUGUGUCUGACGCUGAGAUGCGAAAGCCAGGGUAGCGAACGGGA
rnacentral:rRNA from 1 species